GCCCUUAUAGCUCAGUAGUAGAGCGUCAGUCUUGUAAACUGAAGGUCUGUAAUUCAAUCCUGCAUGGGCCCA
rnacentral:tRNA from 1 species